UUGUUGGUAAGGUAAAAGCUUACCAAGGCUUCGAUCAGUAGCUGGUCUGAGAGGACGACCAGCCACACUGGGACUGAGACACGGCCCAGACUCCUACGGGAGGCAGCAGUGGGGAAUUUUGGACAAUGGGGGCAACCCUGAUCCAGCCAUGCCGCGUGAGUGAAGAAGGCCUUCGGGUUGUAAAGCUCUUUCAGCCGGAACGAAACGGUUACGGAUAACACCCGUGACUACUGACGGUACCGGAAGAAGAAGCACCGGCUAACUACGUGCCAGCAGCCGCGGUAAUACGUAGGGUGCGAGCGUUAAUCGGAAUUACUGGGCGUAAAGCGUGCGCAGGUGGUUUUGUAAGUCAGAUGUGAAAGCCCCGGGCUCAACCUGGGAACUGCGUUUGAAACUACAAGACUAGAGUGUGGCAGGGGGGGGUGGAAUUCCGCGUGUAGCAGUGAAAUGCGUAGAGAUGUGGAGGAACACCGAUGGCGAAGGCAGCCCCCUGGGUCAACACUGACGCUCAGGCACGAAAGCAUGGGGAGCAAACAGGAUUAGAUACCCUGGUAGUCCAUGCCCUAAACGAUGUCAACUAGUUGUCGGGCCUUUACGGGCUUGGUAACGUAGCUAACGCGUGAAGUUGACCGCCUGGGGAGUACGAUCGCAAGAUUAAAACUCAAAUGAAUUGACGGGGACCCACACAAGCGGUGGAUUAUGUGGAUUAAUUCGAUGCAACGCGAAAAACCUUACCUACCCUUGACAUGUAUCGAAGCCCGCAGAAAAGCGGGGGUGCCCGAAAGGGAACGAUAACACAGGUGCUGCAUGGCUGUCGUCAGCUCGUGUCGUGAGAUGUUGGGUUAAGUCCCGCAACGAGCGCAACCCUUGUCAUUAAUUGCCAUCAUUUAGUUGGGCACUUUAAUGAGACUGCCGG
rnacentral:rRNA from 1 species